UGGGGAAUUGUUCGCAAUGGGCGCAAGCCUGACGACGCAACGCCGCGUGGAGGAUGAAGGUCUUCGGAUUGUAAACUCCUGUCGUGUGGGAAGAACGACCUUGUGGUGAACAGCCGCGAGGUUUGACGGUACCACGUGAGGAAGCCCCGGCUAACUCUGUGCCAGCAGCCGCGGUAAUACAGAGGGGGCAAGCGUUGUUCGGAAUUACUGGGCGUAAAGGGCGUGUAGGCGGCCUCCUAAGUCAUACGUGAAAUCCCACGGCUCAACCGUGGAACUGCGUGUGAGACUGGGGGGCUCGAAUCCGGGAGAGGGAUGCGGAAUUCCAGGUGUAGCGGUGAAAUGCGUAGAUAUCUGGAGGAACACCGGUGGCGAAGGCGGCAUCCUGGACCGGCAUUGACGCUUAAGCGCGAAAGCCAGGGGAGCAAACGGG
rnacentral:rRNA from 1 species